AAUCACAAGGGAUCCAUUGAGUGAGCCACUGCAACAAACAGGAACCCCUUCAAAGAGCUUCCAGUCUGGUGGGUAAGUAGGACCAACUACAUAAUCCUUGGUAAGAAAAGGAGGUGGCCCUGACAAGUGCAACUCGAGAAAUGCAAUGCUGUAGAGUCCAAAGGUGUCUGACUUGAACGAAAUGAUCCCACUGGGGGACAAUGCAACAUAUACUCCAGGGUCAUGUUUUGUCAUGAUGCAGCAAGGAGAUCUGUUCCUAACUUGGACUUGGUUGUCUAACCCUCAUCUCUUCUCUUUAUUACAAGGUAAGCAUAGUGGAAAACAUAUUGGACUUAGAUUCAAACACACCUGAACCUGUAACUUAUGAGCCAGGUGACCUUGGGGGUAAGUAAAUUUAUUUCUCUAAUGGGGUUAAAUAAUGCCUACUCAAUGCUUUAAAAGAUUUUCAGUGUGGAAUAAGACUGCAAAUGCUUACAAUAAUAGCACUAAGACUAAUAACAGCUAACAGUUAAUUAUAUAAUGCUUACUAUAUGCUAGGCACUGGUAUUAAGGUCUUUACAUGAAGCACUCAAUAAAUAUUAGCUGCAGAGAAAUCUCACGGAAUUGACUAUAUAACCUGCCCUAACUGACGGGAACGUUACCUAUUCUUUCCAUCAAGGGAACUGAUUGCUUCCAGAAGCUUUUGAUGCUUUCUCUCUCCAUCAUUGUCCCCCUAAGACACAGAAAAGGAAAAACAAUCAGGAUGAGGGGGAGGGAAAAGACAACAUGGAAAUUGAGUCUCAUGUAAAAUCUCUUGUUAUUUAUUUAUUUAUUUUUGAGACGGCGUCUCGCUCUGUUGCCCAGGAUGGAGUGCAGUGGUGUUAUCUUGGCUCACUGCAAGCUCCGCCUCCCAGGUUCAUGCCAUUCUCCUGCCUCAGCCUCCCAAGUAGCUGGGACUACAGGCGCCUGCCACCACGCCUGGCUAAUUUUUUGUAUUUUUAGUAGAGACGGGGUUUCACUGUGUUAGCCAGGAUGGUCUCAAUCUCCUGACCUUGUGAUCUGCCCGCCUUGGCCUCCCAAAGUGCUGGGAUUACAGGCAUGAGCCAUCACCCGGGCCUGUUUUGGUUGGUCUUAUAAAUUAUACUUAUGCAACUUGAGGGUAGUGAUUGUAACUUAGUUUCCAAAUCCUCAUAGCACUUAAUAUGAUACAGUAUCUUAUAUAUGAAACACUAACCAUUUGCAAUUUAUUUGAGAGACCUGAACAAAUACAUAGAACAUUGUCACACCCUUCCAUUCCAGGAAUGUGCUCUCUACCCUAAUUUUGAAGGCAGUUUAGCAAUUGUCACCCACCUCAUCUUCACUCUCACUCAAGAGGUAGUCUUUUGGCAAAUCCGCUAGUUCUUCCUGUUGGCUCAAAGCCAGAAGGCUGUUAAAAGAGGCAACAGAGAAAUGUGAAUGCAAUAUACCCAUGUAACAAACCUGCAUAUGUAUCCCUUAAUUAUAAUAAAAGUCGAAAUUAAAAAAAGAAA
rnacentral:lncRNA from 1 species